rnacentral:rRNA from 1 species
UGGGGAGUAUUGCACAAUGGGGAGGACCCUGAUGCAGCGACGCCGCGUGGGUGAAGGAGUGCUUCGGCAUGUAAAGCCCUAUCGGCAGGGAAGAAUAUGACGGUACCUGACUAAGAAGCCCCGCGUACAUACGUGCCAGCAGCCGCGGUAAUACGUAGGGGCGAAGCGUUAUCCGGAUUCACUGGGUGUAAAGGGAGCGUAGACGGCCGUGCAAGCCUGGAGUGAAAGCCCGGGGCCAACCCGGCAGCUGCUCUGGGAACUGCACGGCUGGAGUGCGGGAGGGGCAGGCGGAAUUCCUGGUGUAGCGGUGAAAUGCGUAGAUAUCAGGAGGAACACCGGCGGCGAAGGCGGCCUGCUGGACCGCGACUGACGUUGAGGCUCGAAAGCGUGGGGAGCGAACAGGAUUAGAUACC